CGCUUGGACCAGGGAUGAGCAGUAUCAGCCCGACAGCAAUACCGGGAAGAAGGAAGUCUCAAAUUAACUCAUACUUCGAAACGUUUUUUAUUCUGAAAGAAAAGAAAGCUUUGAGGUGAAGAUUCUUCGCUUGAAUGCCAUCUGAGAAAUAGAAUCUAUGUUCUCUGUGCCAUUUGGACUUAUAAGAAGGUUGAACGUUACCACAGUGAGCGCAAGAGGAAGUCGACUUGCUAAUUGCGGCAACAAACUCGAACUUGCUGUACUUACCCUUCGGUACAGAAUCAUUUAAGGAUACGUACCCUUUCGCCUCAAGAACAUUUUGAUUUCUUCAACGGACUACCGAAUCAGUUCCCCGUUUUCGUUUCCUUGAUUGUUUAGAAGACACUAACCAGAUCGUCAAGAUGGUGUACGAAUGUGGAUACAGCAGCAGCACCACUGCUUCUUGCGAAGUUGAUCCCCAGGCGAGGAAGUCAGUCUUUAAGACCCUGGACAUGGAGACCUACGGCGUGGGAGGUGAGACCUCCUCCACGGGUGCCAAACCCAAGAAGAUAAAAGGCAGUAACAGCAAAGAGCAAGAUGCCUGGGGACCAAUUUUCAAGAAUAAGGAGCACUUCGUUAACAUGCAUAUCUGUUAAACCGUCCCACCGACGAGGGAGUGAGAGACUCGGAGAUGCUGAUUCUCUCGGGUGUCUGUUUGACCCUCAAGCGCCCUCUUAUGGGUGUGGCUCUGUGCCGAAUCCCAGCGAGACCGGACCGUUUCCUUUCCUUUUUUUUUCUCAGUUCCCUCUUUUGAAAUUCUGGCCUAGUUUCUCUUUGAUCGAACUCUACCUUUUGAACUUUGACUUUUCUGACCUGCCACCCAGAGAGAGAAGCAAUGAACGUGUACCUGACUCAUCCAUUCAUUUUUCUCUCUGAUCUCAUCUCGCUCUUCGUCAUUUCAUCGAGAGUGACUUUGGAUUCCAUUUACCAUUGCAUUAAAUACUUCGCGUGUUCGCAUCAGCAUCGUCGCAUUUAUUUAUUGCCAUUGAAAUACCUCAUCUCAUUCAUUAUUCUUCUGUAAACUGUAUCAGACUGAUACAGUAUCAAAUUUUUUAUCGCCACAUUUUACUAUAUUAGUGAAGACAACAACGCAGUAAAUAAUAAUAAGUUCAUCAUGAUACAAUAUAUCCAAAAUAUAUGGUUUCUUGGCAUU